CGUAGGUGGCAAGCGUUAUCCGGAUUUACUGGGUGUAAAGGGCGCGUAGGCGGGAGAACAAGUCAGACGUGAAAUGUGGGGCUUAACCCUCAAGCUGCAUUUGAAACUGUACUUCUUGAGUAUCGGAGAGGCAGGCGGAAUUCCUAGUGUAGCGGUGAAAUGCGUAGAUAUUAGGAGGAACACCAGUGGCGAAGGCGGCCUGCUGGACGACAACUGACGCUGAGGCGCGAAAGCGUGGGGAGCAAACAGGAUUAGAUACCCUGGUAGUCCACGCUGUAAACGAUGAAUACUAGGUGUGGGGGGACUAACCCCCUCCGUGCCGCAGUUAACACAAUAAGUAUUCCACCUGGGGAGUACGGCCGCAAGGUUG
rnacentral:rRNA from 1 species